CGCGAACGCUCAUUACAACAGCUAUAAUUUACUUGAUCUUGACAAACUUACAUGGAUAACUGUGGUAAUUCUAGAGCUAAUACAUGCACCAAAGCUCUGACCGCAAGGAAAGAGCGCAUUUAUUAGAACAAAACCAAGCUGCUUCGGCAGUUCCCAGUUGAACCAGAAUAACUUAGCUGAUCGUACGGUCAUGAACCGACGACGUGUCUUUCAAGUAUCUGCUUUAUCAACUUUCGAUGGUAGGGUAUCUGCCUACCAUGGUGGUGACGGAUAACGGAGGAUCAGGGUUCGACUCCGGAGAAGGGGCCUGAGAAAUGGCCACUACGUCUAAGGAUGGCAGCAGGCGCGCAAAUUACCCACUCUCAGAAUUCGGAGGAGGUAGUGACGAGAAAUAACGAGACUGAUCUCUUCAGAGGCCAGUCAUCGGAAUGGGUACAAUUUAAACCCUUUAACGAGUAUCUAUGAGAGGGCAAGUCUGGUGCCAGCAGCCGCGGUAAUUCCAGCUCUCAAAAUGCAUAGAAUUAUUGCUGCGGUUAAAAAGCUCGUAGUUGGAUCUGUGUUGGGAUAGUGGUGCGCCUUCGGGCGUUUACUGCUUCAUCUCGACUUUCAGCAGUUUUUGGCUCUACGCCCUUCAUUGGGAGCAGAUGUCCAUGGCUGCAAGUUUACUUUGAAUAAAUCAGAGUGCUCUAAACAGGCGUUUCGCUUGAAUGAUUGUGCAUGGAAUAAUAGAAGAGGAUUUCGGUUCUAUUUUAUUGGUUUUAUAGACUGAGAUAAUGGUUAACAGAGACAAACGGGGGCAUUUGUAUGGCGACGUGAGAGGUGAAAUUCUUGGACCGUCGCCAGAGAAACUACAGCGAAAGCAUUUGCCAAGAAUGUCUUCAUUAAUCAAGAACGAAAGUCAGAGGUUCGAAGGCGAUCAGAUACCGCCCUAGUUCUGACCGUAAACGAUGCCAACUUGCGAUCCGUCGGUGGAAAUCACAAAAUUGCCCUGAUGGGGAGCAUCCCGGAAACGAAAGUCUUCCGGUUCCGGGGGAAGUAUGGUUGCAAAGCUGAAACUUAAAGGAAUUGACGGAAGGGCACCACCAGGAGUGGAGCCUGCGGCUUAAUUUGACUCAACACGGGGAAACUCACCCGGCCCGGACACCGUGAGGAUUGACAGAUUGAUAGCUCUUUCAUGAUUCGGUGGAUGGUGGUGCAUGGCCGUUCUUAGUUCGUGGAGCGAUUUGUCUGGUUUAUUCCGAUAACGAGCGAGACUCUAGCCUACUAAAUAGUUGGCACAUUGCUUCUGUGUGCAUUUGACUUCUUAGAGGGAUUCGUGGUGUUCAGCCACAAGAAAUUGAGCAAUAACAGGUCUGUGAUGCCCUUAGAUGUCCGGGGCUGCACGCGCGCUACACUGGCGAACGCAACGUGCUUGUCCUUGGCCGAAAGGCCUUGGUAAACCAUUGAAAUUUUGCCGUGAUUGGGAUCGGAAAUUGCAAUUAUUUUCCGUGAACGAGGAAUUCCAAGUAAGUGCGAGUCAUCAACUCGCGUUGAUUACGUCCCUGCCCUUUGUACACACCGCCCGUCGCUGCCCGGGACUGAGACAUUUCGAGAAACUUGAGGACCGUUGAUUUGGCCCUCUUCGGA
rnacentral:rRNA from 1 species